GCCAUAAAAAAUCUAAAAUGUGGGGUUGGGGAAACUCCGGUGAUAAAUUGUAUUUUUCAUACGGAAGGUUAAGGGGUGCGGAAAGGGGCGACUUGGCUAAGACCUGAAACUGACAGAAUUUCGAAUAGAAAAAGAAGGGUUACUGCGAGAUGAUCAGCGUUGCGAGCGGCUCUGAAAGGGUCCCCUGAGAGGUGAUGAAUUGCAGCGGAGCCCGGGAGCUGGGCAGCUUGGGCACCGUUCGCAUCCCCACCGUACUCCGGCACAGAGAGGCUGGAGGAAUGCGCGCCGAACAAGUGUCUGGGCAGCGCAGGACUGCGAGGUUAGCAGCAGCAGUGCCCACAGAGAAGCCUGAGAAUGAGAGGCAAUUCCUCCAGUCUCGGCAGAACAUCCCCAUCACAAAGGGACACCAGUUUGAUGGUACAACCGGGACACUGCAAGUCUCUGUAGAGCUCCGCUUGGUGCCCACUGAGGCUGAACUGCUGAUCAGACAGGAGGAGGAGCUGUGGGGGCUGGAGAAGGACAGACAGGAGACUGGACAGUUCACAGUGGAAGAUACAGUGAUUCAAGUCAGCAAGUGGAAAGGAAAGGAACCCAGUGGACCAAAACUGGCCUUUGACCCCAAAGCUGCCGCCAGUGCAGCCCAGGGGAAGAGCUCUGAGAGCUGGGCCCAGAUGAUCAGGACCCUGGACCCCUUGUCCACAGAGACAGUGAGGGCAGGCUGCCAUCUGUGUGUGGAGCACAGUGGGCUCCUUCACCUCCUGUGCUGUGUCCUGGUCUGGAUCAAGAGGCGUCUCACACAGAAACAGAAUCGACCCUGCCCAGGCUGUCAGCAGAAAGAAGAGAGGGAGAGACAGAGAGCUACUGGAUACUAGAACCCCACCCCUCACACCCAGCUCACACAGCACACCAAGAAGAUGAGCAGCAGGGGGAAGACACCUUCAUAGACUGACACUGUCCAGGAGAGAACACCAGGGGCAGUGCCUGAAGUCUGUCCUUACUGAAGAACAUCAGUGCUCGGCUAUUAAUUAUUUCAUACUACCCAUUAAACAACUAUUGU
rnacentral:lncRNA from 1 species